AAAAAAGACUGUGUUGGUAUGAACUGGCAGGGAGAGCUGUUACAAUCAUUAGGUUCAGAGCUGCUGGAGGAGUCAUCAACAAGUGGUUGCCCCAGCACCAGUCAAGCAGGACAGAAAAUAAAAGAGUGGGAUGCUGAAGCAAAGCAGCAGUGCAUCUGGUACCAAGGAGAAAGGGCACAUGGUUUUAAUUAUAAUUUUUCAACUAUGAAUCUUUCAGCACUAAUGGAUGGCUGGUCAUACUGGAGAGCAGUUAUGGCAAACAGAAAUCCUUUCUUCAUGAAACGCGGCAGGUUGUCAUAGACCAACGAAACCAAGCAGUGUUGACUUCUUUUCACUGUCAAAUUAGCACCGUCUGAGGAAAGUGAAAAGUUACAGUUUGAAAAAUCUGAAGAGGAGUCUUCCCAAAUGCUGAUGAGUUACCCCCCCUUUGGGGGCUGCUGCUGCUUUUAUCAGUCCUUGAUGUUACUGGUCCUAACUGCAUGGAGCUGAAGCCUCACUUCAAGCCGUGGCAUUGCAUGGCUCGUGGGGAACCCGAUAGGUUCAGUUAAUGCUACUGGGCUCUUUCAUGGACAGCUUGGCAGCUACCCUGAAGAAUGCAGUCCAUGUGUAUUAAUAGACCAGAAAACUGAUUCACUGUUUUAUGUACCUGUGAAAGGAUUUGCCUGGAGGAAGGAGAAAAGGAACCAUUGUCAAAUUCUGGACUGGAGUGAACUGUAAUGCUGAAGUUGUGGUAAGAGGAUUUUCUGGCUGGAGUUUCCCUUGGAGAACUGAGUCGAGCUUAGUGACAGUACUAGAGGGAAUGGCCUGCAGUUGCACCAGGG
rnacentral:lncRNA from 1 species